AGAAUCAACGCUGGCGGCGUGCCUAACACAUGCAAGUCGAACGCGAAAACCCCGAAAGGGAUUAGUAGAGUGGCAAACGGGUGAGUAACGCGUGGGUGACCUGCCUUCGAGUGGGGGGAUAACGUCCCGAAAGGGACGCUAAUACCGCAUAACAUCCUGCCUUUGAAAAGGUGGACAUCAAAGCCGGGGACCGCAAGGCCUGGCGCUUGAAGAGGGGCCCGCGCCUGAUUAGCUAGUUGGUGGGGUAAUGGCUCACCAAGGCAACGAUCAGUA
rnacentral:rRNA from 1 species